AUUGCUUCUCGGCCUUUUGGCUAAGAUCAGGUGUAUAAGUGAGUGAUAGUGUGUCUCCAUGUCUCUGUGUAUCUGCAUAUGCUAUAUCAUGUUUAUGUAUGUCAGAGGGUAACUUAUCAGAAUUUGUUCUCUCCUUUCACCAACUGGUUCUUUGGGAUCCAACUUAUAUCAUCAGACUUGACACCAA